rnacentral:lncRNA from 1 species
GCCGUGGUGAGGAUGAAUCCCACGCGGGCCCUGGCACAUGGGCUUCGGCCCCAGGUCUGCGGUGGUGGGGGUCCCAGCCUUUUCCUGAGGCCAGAAGAGGACUGAAAGGAGUGGUUGCAUCAGGUCUCCCCCACCCUUCUGCCUCCUGCGGUUGCGGCUUUAUUGUGGCCUCUGCUCCCCUGACACCUGCAUUUCACUUAGCGGGAGAGGCGGUGGCCAACUCAGCACAGGCUGCGGACUCAGCGUGGUGACAGAUCCCUCAAGCUAGAAGACUUCUGUUAGGAGAAGCGUUAUCCUGUCAGUUGAUUACCCUGAGGUUAGAGACUAUCCAUAGGAUAAAUUUCUAGCAAAUUGCUGAGUCCAGGAUAUGCAUGUUUGCAAUUUUGGAAGAUCUUAAAAACUUGCCUCCUAUAGGUGUUGUACCAGUAUAUACUUCUGCCAGUAAUAGAUGGGUGGGCUGCUGAUGCCUCAAAAUGUAAGUAUUUUCAAACUUUUAAAUUUUAGCCCAUUUAACAUAAUUUAAAAAUUAUGUCUCUGUGUGAUUUUAGUUCCAUUUCCCUUAUUAUAUAUAAGACUGAACAUCUUGGCAUAUGUUUAAGGGCCAUCUGCAUUUCCUUUUCUGUGCACUGUCAGCUUAUAUGCUUUGCCCAUUUUUUCUAGUAGAUGGUUAGUGUUUUUCUUAUUGAUUUGUAUAUAUUCUGUAUUACUCCUUUAUCACAUUGCCACAAAGAAAUGCCUGAGAUGGUGUCAUUUAUAGAGAAAAGAGGUUUAAUUGGCUCACAGUUCCACAGGCUAUACAGGAAGCAUGGCUGAGGAGGCCUCAGGAAACUUAACAAUCAUGGCAGAAGGUGAAGGGGAAGCAGGCACAUCUACACAUGGCCAGAGCAGGAGGAAGAGAGAGAAGGAAGAGGUGCUACACCCUUUUAAGCAACCAGAUCUUGUGAGAUCUCACUAUCGUGAGAAUAGCAAGGAGGAAAUCUGCCCCCAUGAUUCAGUCACCUCCUGCCAGACCCCUCCUCCAACAUUAGGGAUUACAAUUCGACACGAGAUUGCCGGUGGGACACAAAUCCAAACCAUAUCAUAUUCUUUAUACAUUUGGGAAAUUAACUUUUUUCUGUAAUAUGAUUUACAAAUAUUUUUCUCAGAUUGGCAUUUGUUUUUUGACUUUUCAUAUUGUGCAUUUUGCCAUGGGAAGUUUUUUUUGUCAUUAAAUUUACCUAUUCUUUCAUUCAUAUGGCUUCUGGGUCCUAUAUUAUACUUAGACCUUUACCAUUCUGAAAUUAUGUAAGAAAAAUUCUCUCAGGGUUUUUUCCUAGUAAUUUUAAGACUUUACUUUUAAUAUUUUGGAUUUAUCCAGAUGUAGACUAUAAGAUAAGGAUCCACAUUUUUUCCCCAGCUCUACAUUUUGCUGCUAGAAGAUUUUACAAAAUUUUGCAAUUACUUAGUAACUUACAUUUCUUCCCAAUUGAUUUUGAAAUCUGUAAGAGCAGAAACUUUGAUUUCAUAUUUUUAUUCUCUCACAUGCCUGCCCUUUAAUGCACUUCAACCCCAGCCCCAAGUUUUGCCUAGUACUUGGCAGUUAGGUAGUUGUUACUUCUGCAUCUCUUGACUGCUGGGGAGGAAAGAUUCCACCUGAGUUAAGGCAAGUCCUACCCAGGAUGUGGCUGCAAAUGAGACUGCAAAGUUCUCGACCGAUGUCUUUUCAUUAAACUCUGGCUUUUACCAAGUACAAGUACCAAGUGAGUCAUACCGACACAUGUAGAGGAUGGCAUCCUGAGGGGAAAAGAAUUAUAGUGGAAAUAACCAAGGCUGCUUGGAGAAAAGCUUCUCAGCUGGCACUGCAGAACAGCAGCCACUGCCACAGCAAACAGCAAAACAAUAACAAGCUUACUUGCAGAAGGUGGGAAGCUGCAGACGUAAAUGCAGGCUCCCUUCCCAGGCUACCAGCAGUCCCUGGGGAUGAAGUAGUCUAAAUGGGCAGCAGUUGUGGAGUCCUCCCCGCUCACAGGAAUGGAAGAUGUCACUCACUAGCAGAAGUGCUCUGGGGUGGCAAUGAGGAGUACUGUCUUUGGACUCUGACAGGAACAUCUGGAUGGCACCAGGCUCAGGGAGACGGGUCUUGUGUGUCCUGCUAAGCACUAACAGCAAUAAUUGAGCAGCAGCAAUCUGCCUCACAUCAUUCUAGGCCCUAGGAGGGCACAAAGUUGGUUCUUGGCUCAGGUUAUCAGGAAAGUAACGUAUGUGCGUACAAAUAAAGUGUCCAACAGCAGAAAGGGAUGCCCUGAACAGUCCAGGUUGCACAAAGGAGUAUGGACAAACAAGUAGUUUCAUCCAGCUGGGAGCACUAGGAAAGCUCAGAAGGAGGAUGCCUCCAGGAGCCAGUGAGUGUAUUCUGUCACCAGGUGCCUUGGAGAGUGGAGGAUCUGGAGGGCACUUUUUGAGGCUGAUAGGAAGAAAGCAGACGGGUGGAGUGGUAGAUGGAAUGACGCCCUCACCCUCUGCAAUGUUCACAUUCUAAUCCCUGAGAUAUGUGAAUAUGUUACUCUAGCUGACAAAAGGGACUUUGCAGAUGUGAUUAAGGAUUUUGAGCUGGGGAGGUGACUCUGAAUUACAUGAAUGGGCCCAGUAUAAUCACAAGGGUCCUUAUAAUAGGGAGACUGGAGUGUCAGAGUCACAGAUGAGCUGUGAUGAUGGACGCAGUGGUGAGAGAGAGAUGUGAAGAUGGAAGGAGAGGGCCAUGGGCCAAGGAAUGUGGGUGGUCUCUAAAAGCUGGAAAAGGCAAGAAAAUGGAUCCUCCCCUAGAGACUCCAGCAGGAACAAAACCCUGCUGACACCUUGACUGUAGGACUUCCAACCUCCAGAACUAUAAAAUAAUAAAUUCAUGUUGUUUUAAACCACUAAGAUUGUCGUAAUUUGUUACAACAGCCAUGGGAAAUGAGCACAGGUGGAUUAGACACUUCAAGAGAUGUAAUUUCUUUGUGUAAUUCUUUCUGGGAAGCUCCAUGAA